GCAAUUUAAUACAAUAUUUAAAUUUAAUAAAUAUAUUUUAUAAAGAGCUUUAUGAAUUUGUAGUUUCUACGGAAUAAAUUUCUGACCCAUAAACCGCACAUCACAAACAUUAAUUCUGACCAACCGCAAAUUACUCUUAAUCCAUUGAAAAUCAACUCAACUGGAGCAGUGUGCACACUGAUUUCUGUCUUCCAAAGAUUAUGAUACACCAAAUUACUUUGCAGUUGCUGUCAAUAGCAGUAUCAUACUUAUAUGGUGUAGGUAGUAUGGUAGUAGCAGAAAAUCUAAUCAUGCGCAGUUGCAGUAUUCCUUUUCGCAGACCGCCCACACCUCAAAUCAUUCAACUUGACUACAAUGAAAGCGCGAUAUAACUAUGAACAUGCCAUCGACUGUAUAAAACAGUGAUGCAUUGGAAUGUAUGCAAAAAUAUCUCCUAUAAAAUUUUAAGUUUUAUAUAUUAUUUUUUCGCAUUACAAUAAAUGAUUUCCAAUUAAAUAAAAUACACAUGUA